UCACCGUGUUAGCCAGGAUGGUCUCAAUCUCCUGACCUUGUGAUCCGCCCACCUCGGCCUCCCUAAGUGCUGGCAAAGGCUUAUUUUUUACUGAUACAACAUAUUUCUCUGUGGUGGGCACCCAUGGUCCGUGGCCUACCUCCCCUUCAGUGAGAGACUAGUUGCUGCUGCUGCAGGGAGCUCUGCUGGUGGUGGCUUUUGGCUGCCUGCCCCUUCACAGGACUACCUCACCCAAAGGCUCUCCCUUUUUGGGAAAGUUCACAUUCUGUGAUUGAUCAAAGUCAUCACAUAAAGGCCUGGCCAUCUCAGCCACACAUGGGACAACUCUGAAGGGCCAGGUUGCUCUGAGCUCUGAGCCCAACAGAUACUGUCACUGCACGUGCAGGACAGCUGGACUUCUCCCUUUGCCCACAGCCACUUCCUUCCUUAGGCGUGAGUCCCAAGAAUACUCCUUAAUAAGUAUCUUGCCUGCUAAGUCCUUGUCUCAGAUCUGCUUCCCUAGAACCAGCCUGCAGUGGUUAGUUAGUACCAGGAGUGAGGGUUGGACAUGGAUCACUCACAACUUUUCUAGCAGUAAGAACCCCUAUCACUGCUGGUAGGUGGAACACAGCCCUGUCAUGAAGUGACAGUCCGAUUUUUAAAACGUUCACUGGUCAUGUACUGGGAUGGUGUACUAGCUCCUGCAACCUAUCAGUCCUUUGAGAAAUACAGAGUAAAUCAUAACUAUAAGGACAAUGGAAUUGGGUAGCUGUCGCUAAAAUUGGUCAAUGCUCUGGAAAAAGAUAAAAUAUAUGAAUAGUUAAUCACCAGCUGAAACCAGUGGAAAAAUCUGAAUAUCAGGAUUCCCCUGAACAUAUAGAAGUAGCUUGAAGAUGAUGGUACAAAAGCUUCUUCUUGCAGGGGCCGAUGCCACGUGCCUCUUGGAAUCUACCCUCACCUUCUCUCCUGAUCACUUAGCCUGUAACUAGGGUGAAAUAUCAGCAAAACCCACUGGGAUGUUCUGAGCCCGAUGUGGGGGGAGGGAAGCCCUAUACCCCCCAGGAGCUGUAAGACCAGCAUGGACCAGCAGAAGCCGGGAAACUGUGUGCGGGUGGGAGCCUGAGGGUGUUCUAUCCAGGGGACUGGCAUACAGCGUUGAAUAAAGGAGAGCUGGCCAAUUUGGGAGUGCUUUUCUAGGAUUCAGGAUUUAGCACACUAACAUGGAGCCCAGGAGAUGGGAGAUGAUCCUGGUGAAAGGGACACCAGCCACACUGAAGUCCAAGCCAGAGCUGAUGCUAGGAGAGGCUGCUACAGAACUCGUCUCCCUCAUGGCAGUCGGGAUGGUGCAAUUCCAAAACAACAGAGGCCACGUGGAAACACAAGAAGCCAGGUGAGCACAAUGACUGUGAUGGGGCACCGUGUCUGGGGAGUGGAGGGAGGGCUGCUGCUGGCUCAUCGGCACAGAGCGGGUUAUUAAAGCAGUGCAUCCCUCCGGGCAAAAGAGAUGGCCAGCAGGGAGCCGCUCGGCCCUACUAAAGGCAAUCAGGAGUGAUGGUCAGGAGGCAAAGGGGCAUGGUCCUAAUCCAAGUUCACAUUCCUUUGGUCUGGUUUCCAUGUCUGAGCUGGUUUCAGACCCAGAGCCCAUUGACUGAAGAAGAGAACCGCUCUCCAGGAGGAAGGGCCUGCGAUACCAUGGCCGCAUUCCCCAGUCCUCCUCCAAAGGUGCCAUCACCCAUUCACUCAGAUAACAGUACACCGGGGGAAGGGGACAUGGUGGAUUUCAAGGUCUCUGGGGGUCCAAGUCCCCAUUGUUCCAGGGACAUGAAACAUCAUCGUGGCACCCCUAUUAGAGUCGGGUACAUGAGGACCAGGUAAUAAAUGCAGCCCCAGUCAGGAUUUGGGUCACAGUGGGUCAUUUUUCUGGUACCUAAAUAUGGUAUCAGAAUGGACACGUUUUAGAGUAUUCUUGGCCUGAGAGGUAAGAGCUGUUACAGUGAAGAGGGGAAGUGGAAGCCUCCAAAACUAUUUCCUCUUCCCCUCAGCCACUCUAGUAAAUAACAACAGUAUCAUGUCCCAGGAGGGGUGGCAGAAUUUAGCAUCACUGUUAAAUAUCUAGAGAAUGCAGAGGUUGUAGCCCAUCAUUUAUCUAUGUAACUUACAAGUCUUGCCAUUGAAAACUCCUGGUCGAUCCUAGAAAAUGAGAGUAGACUCUUCUAAACUCAGCUGAGGAUUAGCACUGAUUGCCAUCUGCCGUGCCAGAUAGAUUUUUAUAUCUUUGUUGCAGCAUUGUCACUUAGACUGAAGCAAAUCGUGUACAGACAUUGAUUUUGCAAGUGCAUUUUCUGUCAGGAAAGAGGCACUUUACUUUCACAUGAAACCAUGUGUAUGUGUAUAGUUUUGCCCCGGGGCUAAUGUUGACCCACCUGCCCUCUGUCAUAAUUAAACAAGGAAGAGAUCUGGACCACCCAGAAGAUUUGUAGAGCAUCGUGUCAAUCAAUUACAUCACUGAUGCCACUCUAAUCAAACUGGAUGAGCAAGAAGUGGCUAGCACAUCAGAGGCCUGGGUAAAACACAUGCACUCCAGAGGAUGGGAGAUAAACCUUACAAUGAUUCAGGGCUUUGCCACAUCAACGAAAUUUCUAGGGAGGCAGGGAUGAGGGGCAUUCAGGAGAAAUCACUGCAUCUUGCACCUCCUACCGUGAAGAAAGAAGCACAGUACCUUGUAAACUUCUUUGGGUUUGGAGGCAGCGUAUGACACAUCUGGGAGUGCUGCUCAGACCUGUGUCCUGGGUACAAUAAAAAGCUGCCUGCUUUGGGGAGGGCCAAGAGCAGGAAAGAGCCCUGCACCGGACCCAGGCUGUGGUCCAUGGAGUGCUGACACUUGGGCACAUCAGCUGGCCGACUGAGACAUUAAGAGGAUCACUGGGGGGUAUUAUGGGCCGAAUUGUGUCAGCUAACAUCCCCCCCCACCGCAGGAAUUCGUAUGUCAAAGUCCUAAAUCCCAGUACCUUAGAAUGUGACCCAAACAGGGUCAUUGCAGAAGAGCUAAUAAAGGUAAAAUGAGGUCAUCAGGGUAGGCCCUAAUCCAGUAUGACUGGUGUCCAUAUAAGAGAAAAUUUGGACACAGCUACAUCCAGGGCGGAAGCUCAUGUGAAGACGCAGGGGAAAGACAGCCAUCUGCAAGCCCAGGAGAGAGGCCUGGAGCACACCCUUCCCUCUCAGCCCUUAGAGGGGAUGAACCCUGCUGACACCUAGAUCCUGACUUCCAGCCUUCACCACUGCAAGAAAAUAAAUUGCAGUUGUUUAAGCCUUUCAAUCAUGGCACUUUGUUACAGCAACUCUAGCAAAAUAAUACAACAGAAAAAAGAGGAGCUGUGUGGAAUUUAUGGCAAGUUAUAAUAGGAGAAUCACAAGACUGCCAGCGUGCUGCUGGGCCCUGGUGGAGACAGAGCCCUUGACCAUGGCAUAAAGCGGACAUGCAGCCACAGCCUGUGGGCUGGCGCUAGGCCUUUAACAGCCAUGCCAAUUUCCUAUAAGAUCAGAAGCUCCUGUCUAGUUCGGUAGGUGACGUGCAUCCACCAUCACAGCCCAUGCUGCGUCCUUCACGAUGGAGAUGCUGUCCACUGCUGACGAAGCCAACACUCCAUGAGCCCAAACCCCGAUGAGUUAGGUUUGGGCAGAACCAUCAUGUCAUAAGAUGGGGUGGGCCAGCAGAAAUCCAUCUUAGGAUUAAAGUGGUAUCCCUACAGCCACAUGGGAGCAGGACCAGGGCACAGCACACGACACAAACAUAGCCCAGGCCUCUGUCAUCGCCAUGUGUGCACCACUGCAUCUUACCAGUUCAUACGCAUGGCUGUGUGGGGAAUUCUCCAUAACCAAAGGAGGAAGGAAACAUCCAAGCUUAUCAUGCUCGCGUCGGCGUGACAUGUUUGUGUGAGCUGCACAUGGACGGCAGCUGCAUCCAGCCUCCAUCAAGGGUGGCCUCGAAAGACAGGAGUGAUGGAGAAACCUCCUAAUGGACAGAAUUUGGGGCAGAGUACCUGGUCAUCCACUUCGUGUGGAAGGAAGGCGAGUCCAGAGUUAGAAUAUACAAGGACUUGUGGGCAGUGCCAAAUGGCUUGUCUGGCUUCGGGAGCCUGGAAAGACAAAGGUUGCAAGAUCUGGGGCAGGGAGGUCUGGUAGAGGCACGCGAGUGGGCAAACGGGAGUGGCGGGUGGAGAACGUGAUGAACGUCUUACUACGUGGUAGUGCUCCCUGGAGAUCAUCCACCAUAGAGGAGGCUCCUAGCAGCCAAGUAGGCCAAAUGACUCGGCCAGGUACCACAGGCCAGCCUGUGUCAUUGGCCCCCCAGUGCUGGCACAGUGGUGGCAGGGAUGGAGGCUAUGAGUGAGCCCAACGGCAUGGGCUUCUACUUACCAAAGAUAAUGUAGCUACUGCUUCCACCACGUGUCCAAUCUGCCAGUAAUGGGGACAAAUGCUGAACUUGGUAGAAAGCUGAAGGGCCACUGAUUCAUUCUGAAAUAUAAAUAGACUGCUACUGUGAGUAGAGAUUUCUCUCUCCCAACCACGGGGCCUCCAUCAGAAGCACCAUGACAGGGCUCAUGGAGUGUUGGCUUCGUCAGCAGUGGACAGCAUCUCCACCGUGAAGGGCGCAGCAUGGGCCGUGAUGGUGGACGCACGUCACCUACCGAACUAGACAGGAGCUUCUGGUCUUACAGGAAAUUGGCGUGGCUGUUAAAGGCCUCGUGCCAGCCCACAGGCACUACUUGACAAGAAUGAGAUGCUGUCCUCCAGGAUACAGGAGGCACUUGGGAUCAAGCACUUUUACAUGACACUUUGUCCCCAGAAAGCCCAGGUCCGGAAACCAAGACGUGCUGACUCCAGCUCCCAGGAGCCCACUCGGAGCAUCUGUGCUUCCCGUGCCCUGAAUUCUGAGUUCUGCAGGUUGAAAUGUCUGGGUUUCCAAAGGGACAUUUUUCCCUGAGGACACAGCAACCCAACCCCUCUCUCAAAGUAAGGGAGUGAACUGCCAAGGUCACAGACCAACCUGGGCCUAUGUUAGGCCCCAGGCCUCCUGGAUCCCUGCCUCUGGCCUGACCACGGUCUCAGGCAGGACCACUGCUUCUGAUUCACACAACUGCUGCCAACGCCCUUUCACAGAGCCCGUGGCCUCCGAAGGGUGGAGUCAGGCCAGGCAGUGCGGGAGCGUCCAGAAGAUUCAGCACAGCAUGCGUGAGGCCAGCACCUGCACCCAGCUGACACUCCCUGCUCGGAGGGAGGGCUCAGGCCUGGGCAGAAGGAGAAGGGUGGGGAGUGUGUGUUAGGAGGUGAGAGUCAAGCUUUUCUCCAUGCCCCAGGGCCCUUUUUCUUCCUCCUCUAAGUCCUGAGGUGGGGGCUCUGAUUCCUAGCACUACGCAUACUGUGCCCUUAUUUCUAGGGGAGGAGGUGGAGAUUCCCACAGUCUGGCUAGGGAGGAGCGUGUGCUGUGUCUCGCACCCCUCCAUACCCAGGGAGACUGAGGGGCGUGGUAUCCCACAGACCCCUGAGACCUACGAUCCCUGACAUGGGCCUGGUGGCACGCACUGUGGCCUGAAAGAGCAGUCGCCACUGCCCAGCAGAUAACCAAGGUGCCAGCUGAGCAGAGCCAGCCUCACCGGCCUGCAGAGGCUCAGAUCUGCGUGUCGGCCCAGGCCCCCAAAAUGGAAUGCUACGGUGCCCUCAAACCCAUGCUCAAGGCUGCGCAGGUGCCACCUGCCCCCAGAGGCCGCCCCACCUGGGAGAUUGUCCCUCCACUGUCACUGUGUCAUGACGAAAUCUUCAGAAACCUGGGGAUAUAGGGACUGGCCAGAGGCAUCUGCGCCCCCAACACUCAACACAGUUCCUGCACAAAGAUGCUUGUGGAAGGAAGGAAGGAGGAGGAAGGGAGGGAAAGAGGGAGGCAAGAAGGAGAAAGGAAGAAACGGCGGAUUCUAGUAGAGACCUUCUCUCAUUCAGUGGUUCGAUGCCACAGCCCACCAUAAGGCUGUGCACGCCCAGUGUCUCGCUGGAUGCUCAUAGCUCAAGGGGCACUUGGGGUGCUCCAGCCUGGGCACCAGAAGCUCUGCCAGGGCUGCGUCUGAUUCACAUAACUGCAGCCACUGCUUAACCUUAACCUUCCUCCAACACCUUUGCUGAAGUCAGAAUUCCAGCUGGGUCCCGUUCCUCCCUUGCCUCCCUCCCUGCCAAGGUUUCCCGUGGGGGCCUCUGAGGAGGUGGAGGCCUGCACCCCACUUCAGGGAGCCCACAAAAGUGAGUUUCCAUCUGUCGAGGACCACCAUGCACCCCUCGGUCCAAAAACCGUGGCUGACUGACAUGACUCUAGAGCCUGGGGGUGCUGCACACUUGGUAGGGGAGGGGAGGGAAGCCCCUUCUAGAAGGUCUGGGCUCCCCCUGGAGACUCUGAUGAGGGUCUGAGGAAGUGGGGUCCAUCCUGUGCUGGCUGCUGUUUCCACGACAGUCUCAGGAGCAGCAGGAUGGACUACGUACAGUUUGGGCGCCAGUAAGAGCAAGGAGGGCUCAGCACUUGGGGAUUCCUAGGAAAAGAGGGGUGCAGCAAAGUGAGUCUGGGGAAGAAUCAUGGGAGAUUCCUCACCAAUCAUGGUGAGGAAUGGUGAUUGGCAGGAAUCAAGGGAGAUCAUCCUGGCAUUUUCCAGCUGCAGGUUGACCUCGGGAGAAGUGGCAUUUUCUGUGGAUGCUGAAGCUGGCUUUAUCAGAGUCUGUCCUCCCAGCAGGAUUAACAACUGGGCUGCUUUCUUCUUUUUUCAGUCCAGGCUGAUUUUGACCAUCACAGAGAAAAGUGUCCAAGAAGAUGUUGAAGAAAUAUUCACCCUGACUACAAAUCCCCACACACAGGGGUAUUCCUUCUACUUACUUUGUACCUCCUAUAAUAAUAAGGACAAUCUUCUUCACAAGGUUGUCAUACAAAUGUCUAUAGAAUAAAUGUAUGCAUGUAAGAAUGAAUGAGUUAUAUGUUUUAAAUAACGUUUUGUUUUUUUCAAAAACUGUGCUAAAUGUUUUAGGUAUGUUAACUCCUUAUGCCAACCUUAUGAACAUGUCAUAGGACAAUCUAUUGUUAUCCUCAUUUUACAGAUAAGGAAAUCCAGGCUUUGAGGCAUUAAGGCGCUUGCACAAGGUUGCAGCAAGUGUGGAAUCGGGACCAGAAGACAGACAAGACAGGUUGGUCUGACUCCAGCACCUGCAGGCUGCGAUGAUACUGCUCAAGAGUGACACUGCUCCCUCAGAAACCUGUGCCACCUCCUGUAUUUCAGAAUACGCUCAGCUUACAAACUACAGUUCCAAUGGCCAAUACGAUAAAAGGAAGUUAUUGGGUGAAACCUCAGGAAAUGCUAUUGAAGGGGAAGUUUAUGCUUCUGACAAUUGGCCUCUGGGCUUUCCCUCUUCUUCCUUUUCCCCGCCUGGAACUCAGGAGUGAGAGGGGAGCUGAAGCCGAUGCCAUGACCAUGAUGUAGGCUUGUGGAGAAAUGCCAUGUUUUAGGACUGGUGAAGCAGAAGACAGAGUUGGGGUCUCUCAUGACAUCGUGGGGUCUCCCUAGCAGCUCUGGACCACCUGCUUCUGAGAAAUUUCAGAUUACGUAAGAGAAAGACACCCCCUACUUAGCUGAAGCCCCCGUGACUCGGCAUAUGUUGGUAGCAGCCAUGUGCAGUUCCUCGCCGGCUCACACAUGUUAGUGGCUGGCUAAGGAGAGACCUUGUCACACUCUGGCGCUUGCUGUCUUUAUAAAAUGUGGGCAUGACUUUGAUAACCCCAUGGGCCCUCCCAGCUCUCACAUGACAGCCCCCCAUUUCCACCUCUUGAGUCUGGGGGUGACUCAGUGCAGGGUUUCCUUGGUCUCAUCUCUCUCUCUCUCUCCCUCUCUCCUUUCCCUGUGAUGCAGCAGCCUGGUUGGGGCCUAGAAGGCUUUAGGCCAGCUGUCCGGAUCACAGGUUGCUGCCCCUCCAAAGUAGCCCGAAGGGGACACUCUCAGCCCGCAUUCAGAGCUGGGGGGUCCUUGUGGCCAGCAGGCUAGGAGGACAUUGUCCCUGCACACUCAGCCCCGCCCUUCCCGGUUCGAGCUGCCACUGUUGCCUCUCCUCCUCAGUGGAAUGAAAGCAAAACUUCCAGCAAAAGACAGCAAUAGGAGAAUUGUUUAAAUGACGAAGAAAUAGCAGUCACAACCCAACGGCCAUCAAGUGGCUACAUUUGGAAUUGGCCACAUGGGGUCACUGCACCCUCAGGAAUGGAGGGACAUCCGUGGGGUGCUUCUGUCUCUGAAGUAUGGACUGGAGAAAGCUGCUGCCUGUGGAAAGGAUGGGAGAUGCUCCUUUUCUGCAAAGUUGAGCUGCCUGGGACGUGCUAAGUCCCUCCCCACAGCCAGAAGGGAAGGCGCUUAGUGUAUGGCCUUGACUCAGAGAACAGUCUUCCAAAAUAUUACUCUUACCAUGAUUUUCAUUGUUAUUAUAGCAUUUUGGAACUCCUACAUACUCUUUUUGUUGUUGUUCACAGCUGAUGAAAUCUAUAGAUCUUCUCUGUAAAAAGGUGGGAAUAUUAAAUGCAAUAAAUCCA